GGCCAGCGUGGCAUAGUGGUUUGAGUGCUAAACUAUGACUCUGGAAACCAGGGUUUGAUUCCCAGCUUGGCCU